CAGAAGCCAAUAUGGAGAUUUUGAGAGACCCAGAAUUCUGACAAGUUAACCAGGGUGUCAUCUCUAAAAAGCAGCUCUGGCAAGUAAGUAGAACAAAAAUCAAAUCAUUUGACUUUGUGCAAAGAAAAAAAAUUGAAGUUAUGGAGCAAGACUUUUUCAUCAUAGUCACUUUACUUAGAGUAAUAUUUUGGCUUUCCCUAAGAAAAGCUACAGGAAAUGCAUUGAAUUCUGCUCCAGUAUCCCCAAGCAUGCCUGGGAAUGACACAUGCUUUCCCUAACACCUCUGAUAUACCUCACUCGCAGGUACUCCUCACUCAUAAGAUAGGUGCUCCUCACUCACAGGUGCUUCUUGCAGGUGCUCCUCACUCAUAGAUGCUCCUCACUCAUAGGAUAGGUGCUCCUCACUCACAGGUGCUCCUCACUCACAGGUGCUUCUCCAGUCAGUUUGGCUUCUCCUGGCCCCUUGGAUUUAAAAACCUAAACUUUAGAUGGUCUAUUCCAGCUCCUGAACCCUUCCUUGCCUU
rnacentral:lncRNA from 1 species